GUACGGCGAGUGAAAGCGGCACAGCUCAAAUUUGAAAUCUGGCCCCCUCGGGGUCCGAGUUGUAAUUUGGAGAAGAUGCUUCGGGUGCGGCCCCGGUCUAAGUUCCUUGGAACAGGACGUCACAGAGGGUGAGAAUCCCGUACGUGCCCGGUGGUCGCUCCCGUGUGAAGCUCUUUCGACGAGUCGAGUUGUUUGGGAAUGCAGCUCUAAAUGGGUGGUAUAUUUCAUCUAAAGCUAAAUAUUGGCCAGAGACCGAUAGCGCACAAGUAGAGUGAUCGAAAGAUGAAAAGCACUUUGGAAAGAGAGUUAAACAGUACGUGAAAUUGUUGAAAGGGAAGCGCUUGCAACCAGACUUGCGCGCGGCCGAUCAUCCGGUGUUCGCACCGGUGCACUCGACCGCGCGCAGGCCAGCAUCGGUUUGGGUGGCUGGACAAAGGCCUCGGGAAUGUGGCUCCCUUCGGGGAGUGUUAUAGCCCGAGGUGCAAUGCAGCCAACCCGGAC
rnacentral:rRNA from 1 species